GCAUAACAAGAGGCGAGAUUAAUACAUAGACACUUCCUUUCUGAUGGCUGAUAAAGCUGGAGGCGCGUGACAUUGAGGCCUCACCGUGAACUUCUGUCUGGAGCUUUGCAGAGCUCCUGGGGUUGAUGGUAAAAACUGUGGUCUCCAGAGAAGCCUCGUGGAGAUAAUGGACAGGUGCUUAUACAAGGUCCUCUUGGCUCACCUGACGUUGGCGUCUGGGUAAGCACACAGGAUGGGCAGUAACCAGGCACACUGCUGCCUGGAGGAGGGUACGGCUGUAAGGGAGCAGUGGCUCCCAGUGGGUCUGGGUUCUCUGGGCAGGGGACUGGGAAGAGAAAGCGGGGUGAGGAACACUCGAGACCUUGGGGCCAGCAGUCUUCAUCCACGCAAGCGCACCUAGAUUGGCAACGUGUGUGUUUAUUUUCCUGUAGGGCCCCUGACCUUGGCCCAUCUUAUUGGAGAAGAAGCGGCUGCUUGAGCUGAUCCAGGCGAUUCCUCUGCCGGCUAGCUCCUGCCUCUUACCUUCACAGACCCCAACUGAUCUGGUGCCUCCUGAGGGCAGGGGUUGUGUCUCCUUCUGCUGGACUUCUCUGCCACCGUAUUAGUGCAGGGGUCUGACUCUUUCAACAGAUGUCUUCAGCCCAAGGACCAAGGUCUCUGACAAAUGUCUUUGGGUGAUGGUUCUUUCAAGCCACUGUUUGGAGGGAUGUCUUACACCCAUCCACAGUGAAUACAGGGUGUUUUUAGUGACCCUUCAUUGGGCUUCUCUUCCUGUUCAGGUGACAAUCUUAAACUCCCAUCCACUAGGCCAUUCUGCCCCUUCUCUCCAUUUGGAUAUCUAGAGGUAAGUAGGAGCUAAUGAAUGCCUCUGUGAGCUCUGAAACUCCUCUGCAAAUGUGUUGCUCUUGCUUGUCUGAAUAGCCCUUCUCACCAUAAGUGAUGGUCCUCUCAUUGGGAUUGUUUUUAAUGCCAGGAGAAAAGGAAUGUUGGCAAGACACAAAGCCAGACCCCACCCCCACUGUGCUGUGAUGGGCUCGGAAAGCACCCCCUCACCCCACUGAGCAAUGCCACUGCUGACCUUGGGAACAGUAUUCUGCCUUUUGAGCCUCAGUUUCUCCCCAGGAUGUUAAAGACUAAAUGGGAUGUUGUAUGUAAGGGUCUGGC
rnacentral:lncRNA from 1 species